GACGAACGCUGGCGGCGUGCUUAACACAUGCAAGUCGUACGGUAAGGCCCUUUCUGGGGUUCACGUGUGGGGCAGGGGGGAGUAAAACGUGUGUAACCUUCCCACAACUUGGGGGAAACCCUAGGAAACUGGGGCUAAAACCGGCAUUGUGCCCCUGCUGCAUGGUGGGGGUUGGAAGGCUCCGGCGGUUUUGGAUGGGCUGGCGGCCUAUCAGCUUGUUGGUGGGGUAGUGGCCUACCAAGGCGGCGACGGGUAGCCGGCCUGAGAGGGUGACCGGCCACAUUGGGACUGAGAGACGGCCCAGACUCGUACGGGAGGCAGCAGUGGGGAAUAUUGAACAAUGGGCGCAAGCCGGAUGCAGCAACGCCGCGUGCGGGAUGACGGCCUUCGGGUUGUAAACCGCUUUCAGCAGGGACGAAGCUUUUUGUGACGGUACCUGCAGAAGAAGCACCGGCUAACUACGUG
rnacentral:rRNA from 1 species